rnacentral:rRNA from 1 species
UUGUGCCUACGGGAGGCAGCAGUGGGGGAUAUUGCACAAUGGGGGAAACCCUGAUGCAGCGACGCCGCGUGAGUGAAGAAGUAUUUCGGUAUGUAAAGCUCUAUCGGCAGGGAAGAAAAAAAUGACGGUACCUGACUAAGAAGCCCCGGCUAACUACGUGCCAGCAGCCGCGGUAAUACGUAGGGGGCAAGCGUUAUCCGGAUUUACUGGGUGUAAAGGGAGCGUAGACGGCAGCGCCAGUCUGGAGUGAAAUGCCGGGGCUCAACCCCGGAACUGCUUUGGAAACUGUGCAGCUAGAGUGCGGG